UACGAGUGCUCCAAGCGUUAUCCGGAAUCAUUGGGCGUAAAGGGUGUGUAGGCGGUUGUGUUAGUCUUUUGUUAAAUUCUUCGGCUUAACCGGGGGCAUGCGAAAGAAACGGCACAACUAGAGGAUGCGAGAGGUGAAUGGAACUCAUGGAGUAGGGGUGAAAUCCGUUGAUAUCAUGGGGAACACCAAAAGCGAAGGUAAUUCACUGGCGCACUCCUGACGCUGAAACACGAAAGCGUAGGUAGCGAAUGGG
rnacentral:rRNA from 1 species